AAUAGAUACCCUGGUGGUCCACGCCGUAAACGAUGAGUGCUAGGUGUUAGGGGGUCCAACCCUUAGUGCCGAAGUUAACACAUUAAGCACUCCGCCUGGGGAGUACGGUCGCAAGACUGAAACUCAAAGGAAUUGACGGGGGCCCGCACAAGCGGUGGAGCAUGUGGUUUAAUUCGAAGCAACGCGAAGAACCUUACCAGGGCUUGACAUCCCUCUGACCGUUCUAGAGAUAGAGCUUCCCUUCGGGGCAGAGGUGACAGGUGGUGCAUGGUUGUCGUCAGCUCGUGUCGUGAGAUGUUGGGUUAAGUCCCGCAACGAGCGCAACCCUUGUCCUUAGUUGCCAGCAUUCAGUUGGGCACUCUAGGGAGACUGCCGGUGACAAACCGGAGGAAGGUGGGGAUGACGUCAAAUCAUCAUGCCCCUUAUGUCCUGGGCUACACACGUGCUACAAUGGCUGGUACAAAGGGUAGCGAAGCAGUGAUGUGGAGCCAAUCCCAAAAAGCCAGUCACAGUUCGGAUUGUAGGCUGCAACUCCG
rnacentral:rRNA from 1 species